rnacentral:rRNA from 1 species
UACAGAGGUCUCAAGCGUUGUUCGGAAUCACUGGGCGUAAAGGGUGCGUAGGCGGUGCGGCAAGUCAGAUGUGAAAUCCCGGGGCUCAACCUCGGAACUGCAUCCGAUACUGCCGGACUGAGUUCUGGAGAGGUAUGUGGAAUUCAUGGUGGAGCAGUGAAAUGCGUGGAUAUCAUGAGGAACGCUAAUGGCGUAGGCAGCAUACUGGACAGUUACUGACGCUGAGGCACGAAGGCCAGGGGAGCAAACGGG